GACGAACGCUGGCGGCGUGCUUAACACAUGCAAGUUGGACGGCUGUGGAUGGAAGCUUGCUGAAGUGCACAGCAGUAGCGGACGGGUGAGUAAUGCAUGAGUACCUGCCCUGGGGAGGGGGACAACAGCUGGAAACGGCUGCUAAUACCCCGUAAGCCGGGAGGUGAAAGGGAGCGAUCCCGCCCUGGGAUGGGCUCAUGUCCUAUCAGCUGGUUGGUGAGGUAACGGCUCACCAAGGCGACGACGGGUAGCCGGACUGAGAGGUCGACCGGCCACACUGGAACUGAGAUACGGUCCAGACUCCUACGGGAGGCAGCAGUGGGGAAUAUUGGGCAAUGGGGGCAACCCUGACCCAGCGACGCCGCGUGAGGGAAGAAGGCCUUCGGGUUGUAAACCUCUUUUGUAUGGGAAGAAGGACGUGACGGUACCGUACGGAUAAGUCCCGGCUAACUACGUGCCAGCCGCCGCGGUAA
rnacentral:rRNA from 1 species